UACAGAGGGUGCAAGCGUUAAUCGGAAUUACUGGGCGUAAAGCGUGCGUAGACGGUUAUUUAAGUCAGGUGUGAAAGCUCCGGGCUCAACCUGGGAAUUGCAUUUGAGACUGAAUAGCUAGGGUGCGGAAGAGGGAAGCGGAAUUUCCGGUGUAGCGGUGAAAUGCGUAGAUAUCGGAAGGAACACCAGUGGCGAAAGCGGCUUCCUGGUCCAGCACCGACGUUCAGGCACGAAAGCGUGGGGAGCGAACAGG
rnacentral:rRNA from 1 species